UACGAAGGGUGCAAGCGUUAAUCGGAAUUACUGGGCGUAAAGGGUGCGUAGGCGGUUAUUUAAGUCUGCCGUGAAAUCCCCGGGCUCAACCUGGGAAUGGCGGUGGAUACUGGAUAGCUAGAGUGUGUCAGAGGAUGGUGGAAUUCCCGGUGUAGCGGUGAAAUGCGUAGAGAUCGGGAGGAACAUCAGUGGCGAAGGCGGCCAUCUGGGACAACACUGACGCUGAAGCACGAAAGCGUGGGGAUCAAACAGG
rnacentral:rRNA from 1 species